CGGGGUGAGUAGUGUCUGGGAAACUGCCUGAUGGAGGGGGAUAACUACUGGAAACGGUAGCUAAUACCGCAUAACGUCUUCGGACCAAAGUGGGGGACCUUCGGGCCUCACGCCAUCGGAUGUGCCCAGAUGGGAUUAGCUAGUAGGUGGGGUAAUGGCUCACCUAGGCGACGAUCCCUAGCUGGUCUGAGAGGAUGACCAGCCACACUGGAACUGAGACACGGUCCAG
rnacentral:rRNA from 1 species